rnacentral:rRNA from 1 species
CACGUAGGGCGCAAGCGUUGUCCGGAAUUAUUGGGCGUAAAGAGCUCGUAGGUGGUCCGCUGCGUCCGCUGUGAAAACCCAGGGCUUAACCCUGGGCUUGCAGUGGAUACGGGCAGACUAGAGGUAGGUAGGGGAGAAUGGAAUUCCCGGUGUAGCGGUGAAAUGCGCAGAUAUCGGGAGGAACACCGGUGGCGAAGGCGGUUCUCUGGGCCUUACCUGACACUGAGGAGCGAAAGCGUGGGGAGCGAACAGG